rnacentral:rRNA from 1 species
AGUGAACGCUGGCGGUAGGCCUAACACAUGCAAGUCGAACGGCAGCACAGUAAGAGCUUGCCCUUACGGGUGGCGAGUGGCGGACGGGUGAGGAAUACAUCGGAAUCUACUUUUUCGUGGGGGAUAACGUAGGGAAACUUACGCUAAUACCGCAUACGACCUACGGGUGAAAGCAGGGGAUCUUCGGACCUUGCGCGAUUGAAUGAGCCGAUGUCGGAUUAGCUAGUUGGCGGGGUAAAGGCCCACCAAGGCGACGAUCCGUAGCUGGUCUGAGAGGAUGAUCAGCCACACUGGAACUGAGACACGGUCCAGACUCCUACGGGAGGCAGCAGUGGGGAAUAUUGGACAAUGGGCGCAAGCCUGAUCCAGCCAUACCGCGUGCGUGAAGAAGGCCUUCGGGUUGUAAAGCCCUUUUGUAGGGAAAGAAAAGCAGCAUGUUAAUACCGGGGUGUUCUGACGGUACCGAAAGAAUAAGCACCGGCUAACUUCGUG